GCUUGCUCCGCUGACGAGUGGCGAACGGGUGAGUAAUACAUCGGAACGUGUCCUGUAGUGGGGGAUAGCCCGGCGAAAGCCGGAUUAAUACCGCAUACGAUCUAAGGAUGAAAGCGGGGGAUCUUCGGACCUCGCGCUAUAGGGGCGGCCGAUGGCAGAUUAGCUAGUUGGUGGGGUAAAGGCCUACCAAGGCGACGAUCCGUAGCUGGUCUGAGAGGGCGACCAGCCACACUGGGACUGAGACACGGCCCAGACUCCUACGGGAGGCAGCAGUGGGGAAUUUUGGACAAUGGGCGCAAGCCUGAUCCAGCAAUGCCGCGUGUGUGAAGAGGGCCUUCGGGUUGUAAAGCACUUUUGUUCGGGAAGAAAA
rnacentral:rRNA from 1 species